GCACAAGCGGUGGAGCAUGUGGUUUAAGUCGAAGCAACGCGAAGAACCUUACCAGGUCUUGACAUCCCCUGACAACCCGAGAGAUCGGGCGUUCCCCCUUCGGGGGACAGGGUGACAGGUGGUGCAUGGUUGUCGUCAGCUCGUGUCGUGAGAUGUUGGGUUAAGUCCCGCAACGAGCGCAACCCUUAUCCCUAGUUGCCAUCAGGUAAAGCUGGGAACUCUGGGGAGACUGCCGGUGAUAAACCGGAGGAAGGCGGGGAUGACGUCAAGUCCUCAUGGCCCUUACAUCCCGGGCUACACACGUGCUACAAUGGCAGGUACAGAGGGCUGCGAAGCCGCGAGGUGGAGCGAAUCCCAGAAAACCUGUCUCAGUCCGGAUUGAAGUCUGCAACUCGACUUCAUGAAGGCGGAAUCGCUAGUAACCGCGAAUCAGCAGGUCGCGGUGAAUACGUUCCCGGGCCUU
rnacentral:rRNA from 1 species